rnacentral:rRNA from 1 species
GAUGAACGCUGACAGCAUGCUUAACACAUGCAAGUCAACUUGAACUUCGGUUUGGGUGGCGGACGGGUGAGUAACGCGUAAAGAACUUGCCUCACAGAUAGGGACAACAUUUGGAAACGAAUGCUAAUACCUGAUAUUAUGAUUAUAUGGCAUCGUAUAAUUAUGAAAGCUAUAUGCGCUGUGAGAGAGCUUUGCGUCCCAUUAGCUAGUUGGAGAGGUAACGGCUCACCAAGGCGAUGAUGGGUAGCCGGCCUGAGAGGGUGAUCGGCCACUAGGGGACUGAGACACGGCCCUUACUCCUACGGGAGGCAGCAGUGGGGAAUAUUGGACAAUGGACCAAGAGUCUGAUCCAGAAAUUCUGUGUGCAAGAUGAAGUUUUUCGGAAUGUAAAGUGCUUUCAGUUGGGAAGAAAAAAAUGACGGUACCAACAGAAGAAGUGACGGCUAAAUACGUG